CAGGACUUUCAACCUCUUGCCUCAGAGGGCACAGGAUAUUCGAUUCGAAGCGUCACUUACAGAUUUUCACAUCUGCGCUUGAGGUGAUGACCAUAUUUUUCAAGCUCAGGUCAUGAAGCAUUACCUCUUGCCUUUCAAGAUGGUACAGGCCCUGGGAAAAGAAUAAAGCAAAAGUGAAAAUAUAAAUAUUUUUCAUGUUUAAUUAAUUAGAUAUAUCCAGAAUAGCACCGAGGAGCAUUGCACGUGACAUACCUUCAAUAUCUCCUUACAAAUGUAGGAGAUCCAGCCCUGACCAAAGGAUUUCUUGGUGUUGAUUAGAGACUGCACUGUUUCACCAGUACAAAUCUCAGUAGAAAUCUACAAUACAAAUAAAGAAUAUUUGAAACAUA